AAAAUCUGCAAGUAAAUGAAAUAAGUUAUCAAAAUCUCGAAAAAAUAGGCAGCGCUCUCUGCUCUCAAACGCUGGGGGCGUGUCCGCUGUCGGCGCUGAAACCACACCCACUCGCGAGAGCUGCCGUCUCAACUUACUUGUCUAAACUUACUUGAGCCAAACAUACUGAUGCAUAUAAACAAAAGAAUCACGUUAGAGGGUUGCACAUUUUAGUAGAGUUACUGUGGACUACACUAAUUGGGCACGUACUGCCGGACUGUUGUCGAGUCGACAAAUGACGGUGCCGCGAGACGGGAGGAUGAAGGCCGGGACGGGAGAGACUCUGUCCGGCCCCAUAUAUCAUUGGUUAUCGUCGGGACGAAAUACUCACUACAAUCAAAGAUAACCAGACAGCUGCCUUCCACCUCAGAUCAAAGGAAGUAAACUCAAGUCAAGAACAAUCCAUGUGACCGCCGGUAUCCUGUGGCAGUACUGUCACACAGCAGUAGGGGAAUUCACAGAUAAAGACCAGAUAUGAUGAAUAAAGACUGGGAGACUGAGUUUAAAAAAAAUGAAUUGAAGAAAACUGUACUAAAGAAUAGUUUGCAGUUUCAUCCACAGAAGUCAGCUUCAAUACUCACAAGGAGUUUGUAGGCCGCUCUGCAUACAUUCACAUUUCCACAACAAUAUACUCUCUAACACUGUCCACUAACUACGUCAUUACCUCAGGUUAAAUGAUUCUGAUUGGCUAAAAACAGAUAAUGUCCACACAUGGAGUGAUAGAAAUAAGCAUGUCUCCAUAGAUUAUACAGAUGACGACAAAGCCCUGUUUUAGGCACGGAGUGACCUCAGAGGUCAUAGAGCUGCUCUUUUAUGCACCAAUUUGUUGAUGAUGAAAAACCAUCAUCCAGAGUGCAAGUUGUUGGUUGUUAAUUUCACCAAUGCUGAUCUGUAACAGGAUAUUAGCAUACAGAUACACAGCUACUUCAAGGCUGAAGUUGGUUGAGCAGGACAUUUCCCCAAAACAUACUGAUAACAUGUUCUCAACACUCAGAGUAAGAGGUACAGACACUCUAGUGUUUGAAGAUGAAAAGUAAAAUAAAUGCUUUAACAUACGUUGAUGAAGUCAUUCAAAUUAUUAAAAGGAUAAAUGUGGAUUAAUAACUUGAUUAUAAAUCACUCAAAAGAUAUUAUAUACAUAUAUUGAAGCGGCAGUGGAUUCCAGAAGCCAUCUCCCUUCACAGCUCAUAUCCAAAAACAAGAAUUUCAUCAGUCUGCAAACUCAUCUUUUCCUCAGCACAAUGCAUUCUGGAUUCUUUCUUUGUCAAUUGAGGAUAAGGAGCAAUUUAGAUAAGAGUAUCUCAGGAUCUGUGGAAACAAGCAAAGGCCUUUGAAAGUAGUAGUAGUAGUAGUAGUAGUUCAGGGGUAUUCAAUAUUUACAAUGUUAUUUCGACUUAACAAAAGGAUGAGGAAGUUCACAGUAAAAUUCACAAUGCUUUAAAGUGAGACUUUAAAGGUUUUCCAUAAGAUGAAAGUGAAAGGGGAUUAUUUGCUGUCAAGGUUAAAAAACGAAAACAAAUAGAGUAUUGUAUCUCUUCUGAAGCUAUAAAAGCAAGUGAACAGACCAAAAUUUCAUGUCAUUUUUGAACAUUUUUUUUAUAUAAAAACUUGGCCAUGUAAUCAUAUGGCUCCAGGGGGUUAAUAAAGGCCUGAGGUGAAGUGAUGCAUUUUUGUAAGAAAAAUACCCAUAUUUAUAACUUUAUAAGAAUCACUGGCACACACACAAGUCGAUUCCGGCAGAAGAGUAAACUUUGACUCCACGUAUGGCGUAUUGAUGAACACGGAACACAAAUUAGAAGUCUAAAACGAGAAUUUUUAAAGAGAAAUGUUGGAGGAUCUUGAGUUUGUUGCCCAGCCCUAUUUGUUUGAACUGCGAGAGGCAUCUACUCUCAACUAAACUUACACUACUCUUACAUCCUACGUCAUAAGCCGGAACUCAACUCUCUCGUGAACGUGUGGACGGACAUUACCGAAAGCUAGUGAUUAUAAUCUAUAAAGUUAUAAAUAUGGAUAUUUUUCGAACAAAAAUGCAUCGCUUCGCUUCAAAAGGCCUUUAUUAACCCCCUGAAGCCGUAUACGGAUUACUUUUAUGAUGGAUUGAUGCGCUUUUGGGCUUCAAAAUCUCUGUUACUAUUCACUCCCAUUAUAAAGCUUUGUGUUUGACUGAAAGAAGUCAUAAGAAGCCAUAUACACCUGUAAAAAAAUAUUUUCAUGAUUUGUUAUCACAAAAUUUUUUCUUUUCUCAAAUCAGAUAAUAAAUGUGGUUCAGAUAACAAAA